UACGUAGGGUCCAAGCGUUGUCCGGAAUUAUUGGGCGUAAAGAGCUCGUAGGUGGUGUGUCGCGUCGGAUGUGAAAUCCCGGAGCUUAACUCCGGGUCUGCAUUCAAAACUGACAAGCUAGAGUAUGGUAGAGGGUGGUGGAAUUUCCUGUGUAGCGGUGAAAUGCGUAGAUAUAGGAAGGAACACCAGUGGCGAAGGCGGCCACCUGGACUGAUACUGACACUGAGGUGCGAAAGCGUGGGGAGCAAACAGG
rnacentral:rRNA from 1 species